GGACCCCUAGCUCAGUGGUAGAGCGUGAGAUUCCAGCACUUGAGCCCGAUUUACCGUAAUACCCUUUACGAGAAAUCGGGCUCACAGAGAUUCCUCAAGGUCAUCCGUUCAAUCCGGGUGGGGUUCA
rnacentral:tRNA from 1 species